rnacentral:rRNA from 1 species
AUACUUGUAAAGGAACUCGGCAAAUUGUCUUCAUAAGUUAGACGAUAUGAAGAACCAUUGAUUUUAAUUUCAUUUUAUUCGGUAAUCAAUUAUUGAUUAAGAUGAAUUAAUUUGAUAUGGUGGCACAAAAUCGGAGGCCCCGACUGUUUACUAAAAACACAGCUUUCUGCAACGAAUAAUCUCUUUGUAUAGAAAGCGAAUUUUGCCCAAUGCUAUUAAUAUAAAAUUGAUAAGCGCUUUGCGCAUUUAUUGAUUGAAAUUCUAGUCAAUGGCGGUCUUAUCUAUGAGGAUCCUAAGGUAGCAAAAUUAAUUGUCCAUUAAAUGUGGUCCUGACUGAAUAAAGUAACGAUGGUCUCACUGUCACUACAAGUAUCUCAGUGAAAUUGAAUUAGCCGUGCAGAUGCGGUUUAACUUCG